UUGGAAGUGGUUUAGGUUGUUAUGGGAUAAUGUAAUGAGUUUACGUUUCUUUAGAUUGAGGCUGAUUUACAGAUGAAUUCCAUGUUCAAGAUGGAAAAAAAACUACUUGAUUACGUGGCUGAACAUAUUCAAUAGGAAGCAAGAGGUAGAGCAAUACCAAAGAAAAAUUCAGUUGAAGUUUCAAAGUCUGCUGAUUGUUCCCUUGAGGAAAACACAACUCCAACGAUUGUAUUGCAGAAUGAGAGCAAAAUUUAUGUCAUCGAAAUGAUAAAAAAGAAUUUCCAUCAAAACUGAAAUUUGUGGCUGAUCAUUCUCUCGAAGAAGGCGAAAUGCUUGUUUUUCUUCCUCAAUCCAGCAAUUCUUUUGCUG